rnacentral:tRNA from 3 species
GCGGGGGUAGCCAAGCCUGGUCAAAGGCGCAGGGUUGAGGGCCCUGUCCCGUAGGGGUUCGUGGGUUCGAAUCCCACCCCCCGCA